ACAAACUUGGUCAUUUAGAGGAAGUAAAAGUCGUAACAAGGUUUCCGUAGGUGAACCUGCGGAAGGAUCAUUAACACGUAUCCAACGUUAAACCCCCUGUGAAUUUUAUCGCAGCUCUUGCAGGCAACUGCAAUUCGAGCGCUGGAGCAAGCGGCCUAGUUUCCCCAAGCAGUCAGUGUCUGAAAGUGUCUCUGAUUGUGUAAGGAAAACGCUUUGCGAUCACUGGAGGCCGACACGGCCGGUGACUGGGCUGCUGUGGCUUUAUGCCCCCUUUUUAUUAACCCCACUACCUGAACUCGGGUUGCAGGAAACUGCUUCCCCAUUAAAACCGAACAACUGUUAACAAUGGAUAUCUUGGUUCUCGCAUCGAUGAAGAACGCAGC
rnacentral:misc_RNA from 1 species